rnacentral:rRNA from 1 species
CCUACGGGAGGCAGCAGUGAGGAAUAUUGGUCAAUGGACGGGAGCCUGAACCAGCCAAGCCGCGUGAAGGAUGAAGGCCCUCUGUAUUGUAAACUUCUUCUGUCAGGGAAUAAAGGGGGGCACUAGUCCCUUUUUGCAUGUACUUUAUGCAAAAGCAUCGGCUAACUCGGUGCCAGCAGCCGCGGUAAUACGGAGGAUGCGAGCGUUAUCCGGAUUGAUUGGGUUGAACGUGUGCGCAGGCGGCCUGUUAAGUCAGCGGUAAAAGCCCGGGGCUCAACCCCGGCGAGCCGUUGAAACUGGCGGGCUGGAGUUGGAGAGAAGGACGCGGAAUGCGAGGUGUAGCGGUGAAAUGCUUAGAUAUCGCGCAGAACCCCGAUUGCGAAGGCAGCGUACCGGCUCCACACUGACGCUGAGGCACGAAAGCGUGGGUAUCGAACAGGAUUAGAUACCCGAGUAGUC